UAGAGAGCGGCGCACGGGUGCGGAACACGUGUGCAACCUGCCUUUAUCUGGGGGAUAGCCUUUCGAAAGGAAGAUUAAUACCCCAUAAUAUAAUGAACGGCAUCGUUUAUUAUUGAAAACUCCGGUGGAUAGAGAUGGGCACGCGCAAGAUUAGAUAGUUGGUGAGGUAACGGCUCACCAAGUCAAUGAUCUUUAGGGGGCCUGAGAGGGUGAUCCCCCACACUGGUACUGAGACACGGACCAGACUCCUACGGGAGGCAGCAGUGAGGAAUAUUGGACAAUGGGUGAGAGCCUGAUCCA
rnacentral:rRNA from 1 species